UGAAGCGGCUGAAAGCGAGCGGACUAGAAGCCCCGUUAAUGUGGCGGCUGGAGUUGUAUAGUAUUUCUCAGACCCAGAGAACAGAUGAUCGUGAAGUUUAUCUGUGCGGUUGUUCCCGGUCCAUUUCUCCUCCUCUCUCUGAUAGGGUAUGGAGGGUGUCUGGGUUAAGAAUAAUGAUCUUUAUUGGUUACUGACGAUCCUUUAUCUUCCUCUGUGGUCGAGAUGAUUUUAACCUGAAGAGAAAAAAUUUACAGGAUUAUAAAUGGUUUUCUCCUGCCAUCUUCCUGUUCCUCAUCAGUAUCAUUCCAUCUCUAUGGAUUCUAGAGUUACAUCAUCAGGAAACAAAGCUCCUGAUUCCAGGUGUGAAAACAUAAAGAGCCUGAUAAACAUGCAGAGAGGGAAUCCCACCAAUGGCAGCGAGACGUUAUUC